rnacentral:rRNA from 1 species
AUUGAACGCUGGCGGCAGGCUUAACACAUGCAAGUCGAACGAGUGGCGGACGGGCGAGUAAUGCUUGGGAAUCUAGCUUAUGGAGGGGGAUAACUACGGGAAACUGUAGCUAAUACCGCGUACCAUAGGAUGAGCCCAAGAGGGAUUAGGUAGUUGGUGAGGUAAAGGCUCACCAAGCCGACGAUCUCUAGCUGGUCUGAGAGGAUGACCAGCCACACUGGGACUGAGACACGGCCCAGACUCCUACGGGAGGCAGCAGUGGGGAAUAUUGGGCAAUGGGGGAAACUUGACGCAGCAACGCCGCGUGAGUGAAGAAGGUUUUCGGGUCGUAAAGUUCUGUCGGUAGCGAGGCGUUAACUAAACAGAAAGCCCCGGCUAACUACGUGCCAGCAGCCGCGGUAAUUC